GAGAAAGCAAGGUUUCCUCAGGAGACUAAGUGACAGGAUUCAUUCUGGACUCAAUCAUUGACUUUUUGAUUCAUCCAUGCCAUGAAAUAUUAUGUAGCCAUUUAAAAGAGCAAAGAAAAAUUCUGCAGCACAGAGAUAAACCAAUAUGAAAAACUAUUUUCCAUCUUGGUUGUGGUGGUAAGGUUCUCCUAGAGAUUAAACUUCAGGCCAUGCGCAUGCAAGGCAAGUGGUCUACCACUGAGCCACGCCCCCAGCCCCUCACUGGGGGAUUCUAGGCAGGGGCUCUACCACUGAGCCACGCCCCCAGCCCCUCACUGGGGGAUUCUAGGCAGGGGCUCUACCACUGAGCCCCGCCCCCAGCCCCUCACUGGGGGAUUCUAGGCAGGUGCUCUACCACUGAACCACACUCCCAGCCCCUCACUGGGGGAUUCUAAGCAAGUAAGUAUUCUA
rnacentral:lncRNA from 1 species